GCCAGCAUGGUGUAGUGGUUUGAACAUUGGACUUAGACUUUGGAGACCAGGGUUCAAAUCUCUGCUGAGCCA